GUCUGUGUGUGUGUCUUCAUGUUGAAUUUGAGCUAUAAAACCUACGCUUACUGAUAUGAUAAUGCUGUGUUGAUGUUCAUGUACUUACAGUAUAAUGAUUGGCCUGAUCCCCUGACUUUUGCUGUCCAUCUGAGUCCCAUACUAUGUGAGGUGUGUGUAAAUGUCCAGGAGGAGACAAUAAUCCAACUGCACUCUUCAGUGUCCUGCUGCUGAAUGAGUGUGUGUAUACUAAGUAUGAUGAUUGGCCUGAUCCCCUGACUUUUGCUGUCCACCUGAGUCCCAUACUAUGUGAGGCGUUUGUAAAUGUCCAGGAGGAGACAAUAAUCCAACUGCACUGUUCAGUGUCCUGCUGCUGAAUGAGUGUCUGUAUACUAAGUAUGAUGAUUGGCCUGAUCCCCUGACUUUUGCUGUCCACCUGAGUCCCAUACUAUGUGAGGCGUGUGUAAAUGUCCAGGAGGAGACAAUAAUCCAACUGCACUGUUCAGUGUCCUGCUGCUGAAUGAGUGUCUGUAUACUAAGUAUGAUGAUUGGCCUGAUCCCCUGACUUUUGCUGUCCACCUGAGUCCCAUACUAUGUGAGGCGUGUGUAACUGUCCAGGAGGAGACAAUAAUCCAACUGCACUCUUCAGUGUCCUGCUGCUGAAUGAGUGUGUGUAUACUAAGUAUGCUGAUUGGCCUGAUCCCCUGACUUUUGCUGUCCACCUGAGUCCCAUACUAUGUGAGGCGUGUGUAACUGUCCAGGAGGAGACAAUAAUCCAACUGCACUCUUCAGUGUCCUGCUGCUGAAUGAGUGUGUGUAUACUAAGGUGAGCUUUUAGAAGCAUCUCCUUUCUGACAUCACAAACAAGUGACCCUAUUGGAAUAGAGUGGCAGACUAACAUGUAUCUGUUCAAGACACUGUCAUCCUAAGGUGAAUGUGGUUUGAAUCCUUUGCAGAGCUUAUACCACUUGUAGGGUAGUAUAAAGCCGUAGUAUUUCUAGAACAUUGUCUCUCCCUGUCUCUCUGUCUCCCUCCCCAUCUCU